AAACACUUUUUCAUAAAAGUACUAGCUAGCUCAAAUAAUUUCCACUCUAAUGAAGAACUUGGGUGACCCUCUUGGAUCGAGAGACCAUUCCCCAUGGUUGGCUUGAGGGAAGCUAGCUGAUUGGUACUAUGCAUGAAAUCAUGGGUAGAGGGGACAAGAUACUGAACUUAAAUUGGCCUUGACAGCAGUGAGAGAUUAAUGCAGCUUUCAAAAUCUGCAAAUAUUACAGUGUUAUAGGCUUAGAAUAAAUGUCUAAGGUCAUCCAGGCAUCCUGUGUUAAUUUGGCUUUGUGAAUUUCUCAACUGGCUGGCCCGGCUGGCUUUCCAAACAUUUGAGACAGGGGAUUUACUGUCCUUUAAGUAAUUUCAUAACUGACCUUUUUUGUGGGAAUGUGAGGGUGUGGGCGCAUAUGCAUAUUCUUGUGUGGGUGGACACACAUGUAUACACACCUAUAGGUAGAGGCCCGAAGUCACCGUGGCUGUUGUUCCUCAGGAACUGUCCAGUUGCUUUGACACCACCUCUCAAACAGUGACUUCAGAAGUGUGUGCCACCACAGAUGGCUUAUCACUCAGACUGACCUCUGGUCCUCAUGCUCAGACAAUAAUUACUUCACCCACUGAGCUGUCUCCAGCACCCAAGCUUUUAAAUAUUUGAACAUUUAGUAGAAUGCUUUGUCCCUGGAAGAAGUGAGUUGCAUUAACUUGGUGUUUUUAGUACAAGGGUAUUUGGGUCAUUGUGUCUUUUUGUCAAAAUUGUGCAUUUUCUUUCAUAGUUUUUUUGGCAUUUGACAUUGGUGUUAGGAAAUUCUGUGUGUGUGUGUGUGUGUACACCUACAUACCUACAUUGAAGUUUUUCUAUUUGGAGAUACUAACUUGAGUGCCAGUGGAGGGCUUAUAGACAGAAAGUUCUUAAACCAAGCCUUCCUUUUGAGAAAGCAAACCACUCUGCUGCAAGGACUUGACAGUUACACUUAACUACUUACAAAGCCAGUCUUAUAAAUUAGUAGUUAAAAUACUUUCCCUCUAGAAAUAGAUUUAAUUUAUCUCUUCAUAAAAUAUAUUGUUACCCAGAACCAUUUGGCAUGGGCUAGGUAUGAUCUGAUGUUAGAAAGGCAGAGGAAUUUUAUUUAGUGUAAAUAAAACUGAAUAAACAAUGCCUCCUCGUAAAAUAACACAUUGUCACAAUUGGAUCCUUGAGCAGAGUUGUUGUCUAUUGGCUUUGUCAUUGUCUGUAGCUUACAAAACUCAAAGGAAUAAAUUAUUUAUUUAGCAAAAGAGGGCUUUCAUUCUAAAUCUGACCAUUUGCUACCUCCAAGUUGUCUCUAAUAAAGUGGGCUUUUACUAAUAACACCAAGCUUAUCAUCAGUAAGAUGAGCCACUUGAAGGUUCACCGAGCCACUGUCAAGCAUGGAAGAGUAUUAACCACCUAUAGAGACAACAGUACUGAUGCUCACAGGUGUGGAGGCACACAGGCUGUCUAGAGAUUGUUAAAUACUUUCUCUGUGGAAUAAAGGUGUGUGUUAGCCUCCUAUAAAGAGAGAGUCGGUUUGAUUAUAGGCAUAUUUAUUGAAGCACUAAUCAAAAAAGGAAAGCAUUGAGACUGUAAGGUAUGGCUGUAUUUAUAGUUCUCCUGCAGCCUGAGUAGGCAGUCCAGGGAAGAACAGCGGCCUGUGAGCAGUCUGAUGUCCUCAUGUCAGACACCGCAGCCCUUCCUUAGUUCGGACUUCAGGGCAGGGGAGUAUUCCCUCUCUAAUGGCUUUGCUUUGGGGUCUGCUCUAUUUUGUGCAAAUCGGACUCGGUUGACUUCCUCUAACCGUUUGGCUCAGCCCUCAGUAACAAAUGUACAGUGUUUACUUUUCAAAAACCCCUUCUAAGUCUGUGAUAGGUAAUUCAUGAAAUUAACAUGAUGUUGCUUCAUCUAACAAAAAGAGGCUGUGUCACUCCCAAGAGAGGCAGCUGCUGAUAAACCCCCAAAUCAGCCCUUCCGUGCUGUUAAAUCGAAUGCCGAUAUCCCAGUGCGAUACAUUUACACGGUACAAUGUUGUCACUAGACCUUAGAGAGCUCCUAAUUGCUCACUCAUGUCAGAACUUGGUAUUUGAAGUAUUUCCUGGCAUCAAUACUU
rnacentral:lncRNA from 1 species